GAUGAACGCUGGCGGCGUGCCUAAUACAUGCAAGUCGAGCGAACAGAUGAGGAGCUUGCUCCUCUGACGUUAGCGGCGGACGGGUGAGUAACACGUGGAUAACCUACCUAUAAGACUGGGAUAACUUCGGGAAACCGGAGCUAAUACCGGAUAAUAUAUUGAACCGCAUGGUUCAAUAGUGAAAGACGGUUUUGCUGUCACUUAUAGAUGGAUCCGCGCCGCAUUAGCUAGUUGGCAAGGUAACGGCUUACCAAGGCAACGAUGCGUAGCCGACCUGAGAGGGUGAUCGGCCACACUGGAACUGAGACACGGUCCAGACUCCUACGGGAGGCAGCAGUAGGGAAUCUUCCGCAAUGGGCGAAAGCCUGACGGAGCAACGCCGCGUGAGUGAUGAAGGUCUUCGGAUCGUAAAGCUCUGUUAUUAGGGAAGAACAAAUGUGUAAGUAACUAUGCACGUCUUGACGGUACCUAAUCGGAAAGCCACGGCUAACUACGUG
rnacentral:rRNA from 1 species